rnacentral:rRNA from 1 species
GACGAACGCUGGCGGCGUGCUUAACACAUGCAAGUCGAACGGAAAGGCCCUGCUUUUGUGGGGUGCUCGAGUGGCGAACGGGUGAGUAACACGUGAGUAACCUGCCCUUGACUUUGGGAUAACUUCAGGAAACUGGGGCUAAUACCGGAUAGGAGCUCCUGCUGCAUGGUGGGGGUUGGAAAGUUUCGGCGGUUGGGGAUGGACUCGCGGCUUAUCAGCUUGUUGGUGGGGGAGUGGCUUACCAAGGCUUUGACGGGUAGCCGGCCUGAGAGGGUGACCGGCCACAUUGGGACUGAGAUACGGCCCAGACUCCUACGGGAGGCAGCAGUGGGGAAUAUUGCACAAUGGGCGGAAGCCGGAUGCAGCAACGCCGCGUGCGGGAUGACGGCCUUCGGGUUGUAAACCGCUUUCGCCUGUGACGAAGCGUGAGUGACGGUAAUGGGUAAAGAAGCACCGGCUAACUACGUG